UGUUAAAAUUCCAUCCAUCUCUAUUAUUACAAACUAAUGUAAAUGACGGAAUAACCAAAUAAUUACACGUUACAAGUCACAUGUACCUCAUGUUGACAUACAAAGACCAGUUUUUAAUAAUAAAAAUAAAUAAAUUUUUUAACA
rnacentral:pre_miRNA from 1 species